rnacentral:rRNA from 1 species
GAUGAACGCUGGCGGCGUGCUUAACACAUGCAAGUCGAACGGAAAGGCCCAAGCUUGCUUGGGUACUCGAGUGGCGAACGGGUGAGUAACACGUGGGUGAUCUGCCCUGCACUUCGGGAUAAGCCUGGGAAACUGGGUCUAAUACCGGAUAGGACCACAUUUUGGAUGGUGUGGUGGAAAGUUUUUCGGUGUGGGAUGAGCUCGCGGCCUAUCAGCUUGUUGGUGGGGUAAUGGCCUACCAAGGCGUCGACGGGUAGCCGGCCUGAGAGGGUGUACGGCCACAUUGGGACUGAGAUACGGCCCAGACUCCUACGGGAGGCAGCAGUGGGGAAUAUUGCACAAUGGGCGCAAGCCUGAUGCAGCGACGCCGCGUGGGGGAUGACGGCCUUCGGGUUGUAAACUCCUUUCGCUAGGGACGAAGCGCAAGUGACGGUAUCUGGAGAAGAAGCACCGGCUAACUACGUG